rnacentral:rRNA from 1 species
CUAAUACAUGCAAGUCGAGCGCGGGAAGCAAGCUGAUCCUCUUCGGAGGUGACGCUUGUGGAACGAGCGGCGGACGGGUGAGUAACACGUGGGCAACCUGCCUGUAAGACUGGGAUAACCCCGGGAAACCGGGGCUAAUACCGGAUAAUACUUUUCAUCACCUGAUGAGAAGUUGAAAGGUGGCUUUUAGCUACCACUUACAGAUGGGCCCGCGGCGCAUUAGCUAGUUGGUGAGGUAACGGCUCACCAAGGCAACGAUGCGUAGCCGACCUGAGAGGGUGAUCGGCCACACUGGGACUGAGACACGGCCCAGACUCCUACGGGAGGCAGCAGUAGGGAAUCUUCCGCAAUGGACGAAAGUCUGACGGAGCAACGCCGCGUGAGUGAUGAAGGUUUUCGGAUCGUAAAGCUCUGUUGUUAGGGAAGAACAAGUGCCGUUCGAAUAGGGCGGCACCUUGACGGUACCUAACCAGAAAGCCCCGGCUAACUACGUGCCAGCAGCCGCGGUAAUACGUAGGGGGCAAGCGUUGUCCGGAAUUAUUGGGCGUAAAGCGCGCGCAGGCGGUCCUUUAAGUCUGAUGUGAAAGCCCACGGCUCAACCGUGGAGGGUCAUUGGAAACUGGAGGACUUGAGUACAGAAGAGGAGAGUGGAAUUCCACGUGUAGCGGUGAAAUGCGUAGAGAUGUGGAGGAACACCAGUGGCGAAGGCGACUCUCUGGUCUGUAACUGACGCUGAGGCGCGAAAGCGUGGGGAGCGAACAGGAUUAGAUACCCUGGUAGUCCACGCCGUAAACGAUGAG